UACGAAGGGGGCUAGCGUUGUUCGGAAUUACUGGGCGUAAAGCGCACGUAGGCGGAUAUUUAAGUCAGGGGUGAAAUCCCAGAGCUCAACUCUGGAACUGCCUUUGAUACUGGGUAUCUUGAGUAUGGAAGAGGUAAGUGGAAUUGCGAGUGUAGAGGUGAAAUUCGUAGAUAUUCGCAGGAACACCGAUGGCGAAGGCAGCUUACUGGUCCAUUACUGACGCUGAGGUGCGAAAGCGUGGGGAGCAAACAGG
rnacentral:rRNA from 1 species